rnacentral:lncRNA from 1 species
AUUGCUUAGAGCUUUGCUAAAUUGGUAAGGUGGGGCUUGAACUUGUGAUCCUUCUGCCUCAGCCUCCUGAAUCACUGGGAUUACAGGGGUUUAUCACCAUGAACAGCUACUUUUGGGUUUUCUAUGUGUCAUCUGCGAAGUGACAUUUUGAUUUUUUUUUUUUUCCUAAAUUGGAUGCACUUUAUCUUUGUCUUCCCUAAGGACUCUGGCUAGGACUUCCUGCAGUGAAACUGGGCAUCCUUGACCUGUUUCAGAGUUUAGGCAAUUUUCAGCUUUUCACCAUUCAGUAUAAUGUUAGCUAUCAGCUUAUUUUAAAUGGUUUUUAUUAUGUUGAGAUAUGUACUUUCUGCCUAAUUUGUUCAGCAUUUUUUGUGAUGAAGGAACGUGCAGUCGGAUUCAAUGUGCUGGUGUUUUGUGGAGGAUCUUUACAUUUGGGUUCUUAAGGACACCAGCCUGUAGAUUUUUUGUUUUCUUCAUUGUGUCCUUCUCCUUCUUUUGUUUAGGAAUCGAGAUAAAGUUGGCCUCACAAAAUGUCUUUGGGAGGAUUCUAUUUUAUUUUUUGCAGUAACUUAGGAGACUUGGUAGAGUCCCCACGUAUUUGGUGGAGCCCAGCAGUGCGGCCCCUCUGGUCCUGGACUGUUCCUUGAGUUCAGGCUUUUGAUUGUUGAUUGGAUCUUGUUUGGCGUUGUUUUCCCGCAGCCGGGGACUGAACUCAGGGCCUCGCUCACAUCAGGCUAAUGCAUUACCACUGAGCUGCAUCCCCGCCCCAUCAAUCUCAUUACUUGCUUUUGCUCUUUCUGAGUUCUUCCUGGUUCUUCCUGAUUCAUUCUGGGCAAGGUGUUGUGUCUAGGAAUCUGUCUGUGUUUUCUAGGUCAUCGGGUUUGUAGUUUUUUAUAACAUCUCUAAUGUCCUGUGCUUCUGUGGUGUCAAUCGUCAUGUUUCCCUUUUCAUCUCUGGUUUCAUUGGCGUUUUCUCCUAUUCUUGGUUUAAACCGACUAAAGGUGUGUCUUUUCUGUCAGUCCUUGGUGAAGAACCGUCUCUUUGUUUCAGUGAGUUUUUGUAUUCUUCAGUUUUUCCACUUCCUCGAGGUGCAGUAAUAGGUGUUCAUCUGAGUUCUCCCUCCAUUUUUGAUUUGGGCUUUCACGGUAUAAACAUUCCACUUGGUAUUGUUUUUGCUGUGCCCUGGAGGUUUGCUAUGUAGUGUCUCCAUUUUUGUUUGUUUCAAAAGAACUUUUAAUUUCCUUCUGAGGCAGGAAAAAGAGUUCAAGUGGACAGGCAGGAAACUUGGGCUCCUUCAAGUUAGGCUUCUGUCCAGCAGCUGAGACACAGACACCAGCCGGCCUCAUCAAGGUCAGACUGCUCCUGUAAUGGGAGAAACUGACAGUGAGACUUCUGUGGUCUGGUACCCUGGACCCCAUCAAAAGCGGGGCACAGUAACCUCACUGGACCAAAGAACUUGUGGACACUGAGUGCCUUACCCAGGGUUGGGCUGGGGGUUGGCUUCCUUAACCCUGUAGAUCCAUGGAAGCCCCCAGACAGCAGCCACUCUGGGGGAUCCCUCCGCCUUAGGGAGCUCUGCUUGGUUGCUUUCUAUUGCUCUAAUAAAUCCUGUUACUUUGUGCACACCAUUGUG